CAUAAACUAUAUGGAUAAUAGGAAAGCAUGCAUUCAUUAAGUGAAUAGUGAGAGCCUAUAAUUGCAACAGAUGCAAAUCAGUUAGAUGAAAUGGUUACUAUACACUCAUAUAGAAAAUUAAUUCCAACAGUGAUAAUCAUUAUUAUCUGAAAUUCAUCAUCAGGAGAGAAGCAUAUUGGAAUAUUAACCAAAGCCUCUGCACAUACUGAAAUUUGAAGCUUCCUUAUAUUCACCCCAUUACCCCAGUUCAUUCUUAAUGUGCUGCAUCUCCCAGAGAGGAAGAAGUAAUUGUCAUAGCUCCAAUUAUCAGUUUCUCCUCCAACCCCUGGAAUCAUUUCAGGAUUUACCUUCAUCAUUCCACUACUUAGCCAGAGUUCCAAUUCCUGUCUGCUGGACAGCUCUUAACUGACUCUGCCCUAAAAUCCAAGCUCUAAUGGGAAUGGCUGAGAUAAUGAGAUCUACAGUGUCAACAACUUGAUGAUGAGCAUGAGAAUAGUGGAACCACAAAUCCCCGGAACUCUGCAGCCUGACAGCAGCAGUCCCUGACAAUUCCCUGAAAACUUUCUUUUUGAUACAGCUUGUGUAAAAAAAUAAACAGAAGCAGGUGUCUCACAGAAAGACAUGUGUGUUCUAUUCCAGACUUACAACUGCCAUCUAUCAUUCUUGUCAGGCUAAUCCUAAGCUGAAGUCCAGAACAUCCCAAACAAAUAAGUACAGGCUUUUUCUACAAAGAAAUAACACACACAGCUUCAAAAUACAGAACUUAUUAACACAACACUUGAGAAAUGGUUGAAGAUCAUAAACGAUUGAAAUUACUGUGAUUGAUUAGGACCAGGGAGGGAUAGCUUUGUGUGGGACUGGAAAUGUUACCAGUGAGGAGCUCUAUUCUCGUAUCAAUACUGGAACUUGUAUUCAGGAUGACAGUCAAUUAGGAAUAGUCAUAGAAUUAUUUACAAAAAGUUACAUAGAGCUAAUGAAGCAGAGACUUUUGUGUGGUACUAAAGAAAG
rnacentral:lncRNA from 1 species